GUGCUCACUUCCGCAGUACAUACACUAAAAUUAGAACAAUAAAGAGAAGAUUAACAUGUCCCCUGCACAAGGAUGACACUCAAAUCCGUGAAGCAGAAUGGUUGGAU